UAUAGAAUCCUCGCUGUGCCAUACUUUAGAAAGGCUCCUGCACUUAGGGCAUGUUUGGUUCACCUAUUUUAGACUAUGGAAUCGGAAUAGAAUUUAUUGAUUCCGAUAGUUGCCGUUUGUUUUAUAGGAAUUGGAUUCCGAUUUCCUUUCCACUCCGGAAUAGGAAUGGCCAAAUCCAUUUAUGACCCAAUCCGGCUUUGAAUUCCGGAUUGGUUCAUUCCAAAGUAAACUAUUCAAAGUCCUCUUUCAUCAACACCUACCUUCUCUCCCUUCAUCACUUUUCUCUCUCUUAAUCAAAACUCUCUCUCAAAAAUUUUAAAUUUUCAUUCCGAUUUUCAUUCCAAUAAUGAACCAAAUAUUUUUGGAUGAUUCGUCAUUCCAUUUUCCAUUCCAAAGCAAUUCAAUUCCAUUUUCCAUUCAUAUUCCAAUCAUGAACCAAACAUGACCUUAGGCUUAGUUUGGUAUUGAAAUUUAUCUGAUGCUAUAAGAUAAAAAAGAAUUGGGAUAAAAAUAUAUAAGAAUAUGUUUCUGUAUUCUCCGGUAGAACCGCAGAAAAUAUAUUGUAGCCGACUUAUCGCGAUAUGCGAAAUCCAAUAGUACGUACGGAAACAAACAGAAUAUUUUUUCAUCGCAUUUUCUCACCGCACGUAUUAUAAUUUUUCAGUAAUUCCAAACCGAACCUUACUUGUAUUGACUUUCUAAAACCCUCCUUUAUUCGACAAUUCCCUCUUUUCUGCCUUUUUUUUAUUUUAGUAA
rnacentral:lncRNA from 1 species